AAAGCAGGCCUGCAAUUGCAGCACUUCCAUUUAGUGGAGUGCUGUCAUUAACCCUGCUGAGAGCAUCAUUCAGCUGCAGAGUCUCUCACUCCUUUUCACCGUGUAGGUGAUGAGGAUGCUCUGUGGCUGGACAUCU
ensembl:snoRNA small nucleolar RNA SNORA69